rnacentral:rRNA from 1 species
GGACUACAGGGGUUUCUAAUCCUGUUUGCUCCCCUUGCUUUCGCAGCUCAGUGUCAGUAACCGGCCAGUGAAGCGCCUUCGCCACUGGUGUUCCUCUCGAUAUCUACAGAUUUCACCCUUACACCGAGAAUUCCCUUCACCUCUCCGGUACUCAAGUCAUACAGUUUCCAAUGCAGUUCCAGGGUUGAGCCCUGGGAUUUCACACCAGACUUGUAUAGCCACCUACCUGCCCUUUACACCCAAUAAAUCCGAACAACGCUUGCCACCUCUGUCUUACCGCGGCGGCUGGCAC